AACGAACGCUGGCGGCAGGCCUAACACAUGCAAGUCGAGCGCCCCGCAAGGGGAGCGGCGGACGGGUGAGUAACGCGUGGGAACGUACCCUUUGCUACGGAAUAGCCUCGGGAAACUGGGAGUAAUACCGUAGGUGCCCUUCGGGGGAAAGAUUUAUCGGCAAAGGAUCGGCCCGCGUUGGAUUAGGUAGUUGGUGGGGUAAUGGCCUACCAAGCCGACGAUCCAUAGCUGGUUCGAGAGGAUGAUCAGCCACACUGGGACUGAGACACGGCCCAGACUCCUACGGGAGUCAGCAGUGGGGAAUCUUAGACAAUGGGCGCAAGCCUGAUCUAGCCAUGCCGCGUGAGCGAUGAAGGCCUUAGGGUUGUAAAGCUCUUUCAGUGGUGAAGAUAAUGACUGUACCCACAGAAGAAGCCCCGGCUAACUCCGUGCCAGCCGCCGCGGUAA
rnacentral:rRNA from 1 species